GUGAAUCAUCAAAUCUUUGAACGCAAAUUGCACUCUCCGCUGAGAGUAGGCCUGUUUGAGGGUCAGCCUAUAAAAUAUCUACAUCGUUGCUGUGGCGCGGGGGCGUUCGUCGGAAAUUGGGUCAUCUUAAAUCUUUUGGUAUUAAGCGACUGAAAAUUUUCUUUUUGGUUCCAGGGAAGUUUCUAAGAUUUAUUUCUUUACACGUUGAAGGUAUCGAUUUUUAUUAGACGUUACCAUCAGAUCGGAUCGCGCACAUAAGCUGUCAUUAACUGAA
rnacentral:misc_RNA from 1 species